CAUGGGAUAUUAGUAAACCUAUUACAUAGCCUUGUCAAGACUAAAUCACAGGCGAAAACCCUGUAUACCCCA
rnacentral:tRNA from 1 species